rnacentral:rRNA from 1 species
AGAGGGUGCAAGCGUUGUUCGGAAUCAUUGGGCGUAAAGGGCGUGUAGGCGGUCCAGAAAGUGGGGUGUGAAAGCCCUCGGCUCAACCGAGGAACUGCGCUCCAAACUACUGGGCUAGAGGAAGAUAGAGGUGAGCAGAACUGAUGGUGGAGCGGUGAAAUGCGUUGAUAUCAUCAGGAAUACCGGAGGCGAAGGCGGCUCACUGGGUCUUUUCUGACGCUGAGGAACGAAAGCUAGGGGAGCAAACGGGAUUAGAUACCCCGGUAGUCCUAGCCGUAAACGAUGAGCACUGGGCCGGAGCUCUGCACAGGGUUUCGGCCGUAGCGAAAGUGUUAAGUGCUCCGCCUGGGGAGUAUGGUCGCAAGGCUG